rnacentral:rRNA from 1 species
AGUGAACGCUGGCGGUAGGCCUAACACAUGCAAGUCGAACGGCAGCACAGUAAGAGCUUGCUCUUACGGGUGGCGAGUGGCGGACGGGUGAGGAAUACAUCGGAAUCUACUUUUUCGUGGGGGAUAACGUAGGGAAACUUACGCUAAUACCGCAUACGACCUACGGGUGAAAGCAGGGGAUCUUCGGACCUUGCGCGAUUGAAUGAGCCGAUGUCGGAUUAGCUAGUUGGCGGGGUAAAGGCCCACCAAGGCGACGAUCCGUAGCUGGUCUGAGAGGAUGAUCAGCCACACUGGAACUGAGACACGGUCCAGACUCCUACGGGAGGCAGCAGUGGGGAAUAUUGGACAAUGGGCGCAAGCCUGAUCCAGCCAUACCGCGUGGGUGAAGAAGGCCUUCGGGUUGUAAAGCCCUUUUGUCGGGAAAGAAAAGCAGCAGGUUAAUACCCCGCUGUUCUGACGGUACCCAAAGAAUAGGCACCGGCUAACUUCGUG